rnacentral:rRNA from 1 species
GACGAACGCUGGCGGCGUGCCUAAUACAUGCAAGUAGAACGCACAGUUUAUACCGUAGCUUGCUACACCAUAGACUGUGAGUUGCGAACGGGUGAGUAACGCGUAGGUAACCUGCCUGGUAGCGGGGGAUAACUAUUGGAAACGAUCGCUAAUACCUCAUAAUCUUGAUUAUUGCAUGAUAAUUGAUUGAAAGAUUCUAUUGCAUCACUACCAGCUGGACCUGCGUUGUAUUAGCUAGUAGGUGAGGUAACGGCUCACCUAGGCGACGAUACAUAGCCGACCUGAGAGGGUGAUCGGCCACACUGGGACUGAGACACGGCCCAGACUCCUACGGGAGGCAGCAGUAGGGAAUCUUCGGCAAUGGACGAAAGUCUGACCGAGCAAAGCCGCGUGAGUGAAGAAGGUUUUCGGAUCGUAAAGAUCUGUUGUAAGAGAAGAACGGGUGUGAGAGUGGAAAGUGCACACUGUGACGGUAUCUUACCAGAAAGGGACGGCUAACUACGUG